rnacentral:lncRNA from 1 species
CCAAAAUGAAACUCUGGGAUUAUAGAAUGACAACGACUAGAAGAGACUCAUGAAACAUGAACAGUUGAUUUAACAUUACAAGACAGUGGUGUAAAUUGUCAUGAGAACGUCACAAGAUGCCAGACAUUAACGACUAAUAGAAGGUUGAUCAGGCAUAUAAAACAUCUCAACUCUCUCUCCCUGGCUUCUCCCUCUCUCAACAGGUAAACUAACUCAUAACUCUCUGUCUUUCCCUCUCCCUGGCUUCUCCCUCUCUCAACAGGUAAACUAACUAAUAACUCUCUGUCUUUCCCUCUCCCUGGCUUCUCCCUCUCUCAACAGGUAAACUAACUAAUAACUCUCUGUCUUUCUCUCUCCCUGGCUUCUCCCUCUCUCAACAGGUAAACUAACUCAUAACUCUCUGUCUUUCUCUCUCCCUGGCUUCUCCCUCUCUCAACAGGUAAACUUACUAACUCCCUCUCUUUCUCCCUCUCCUUUUGUUUCUCCUCUCUCCUUCUCUCGCUAGACUCGACCAUGAUAUGAGCCAGCUCCCUAGCCUCCAC